ACUCCUACGGGAGGCAGCAGUGGGGAAUAUUGCACAAUGGGCGCAAGCCUGAUGCAGCCAUGCCGCGUGUAUGAAGAAGGCCUUCGGGUUGUAAAGUACUUUCAGCAGUGAGGAAGGUAGUGUAGUUAAUAGCUGCAUUAUUUGUACGUUAGCUGCAGAAGAAGCACCGGCUAACUCCGUGCCAGCAGCCGCGGUAAUACGGAGGGUGCGAGCGUUAAUCGGAAUUACUGGGCGUAAAGCGCAUGCAGGUGGUUUGUUAAGUCAGAUGUGAAAGCCCGGGGCUCAACCUCGGAAUAGCAUUUGAAACUGGCAGACUAGAGUACUGUAGAGGGGGUAGAAUUUCAGGUGUAGCGGUGAAAUGCGUAGAGAUCUGAAGGAAUACCGGUGGCGAACGGCGGCCCCCGUGGACAGAUACUGACACUCAGAUGCGAAAGCGUGGGAGCAAACGAGGAUUAGAUACCCCGUGGUAGCGACUGA
rnacentral:rRNA from 1 species